UUCGCAAUGCCCGAAAGGGUGACGAAGCGACGCCGCGUGCGGGAAGAAGGCCUUCGGGUUGUAAACCGCUGUCGGGAGUUAAGAAAUGUAAGGAUGUCAAUAGCGUCUUUGCUUGACUAAGGCUCCGGAGGAAGCCACGGCUAACUCUGUGCCAGCAGCCGCGGUAAUACAGAGGCGGCAAGCGUUGUUCGGAAUUAUUGGGCGUAAAGAGCACGUAGGCGGCUAUGUAAGUCGGUUGUGAAAGCCUUCCGCUCAACGGGAGAACAGCAUCCGAUACUGCAUGGCUUGAGUGCGGGAGGGGAGAGUGGAACUUCUGGUGGAGCGGUGAAAUGCGUAGAUAUCAGAAGGAACGCCGGCGGCGAAAGCGGCUCUCUGGCCCAUAACUGACGCUGAGUGUGCGAAAGCUAGGGGAGCAAACGGGAUUAGAUACCCCGGUAGUCCUAGCCGUAAACGAUGGGCACUAAGUAGAGGGGUUUU
rnacentral:rRNA from 1 species